rfam:Ornithorhynchus anatinus chromosome 4, whole genome shotgun sequence.
AGCAGCGUGGCUCAGUGGAAAGAGCACGGGCUUGGGAGUCAGAGGUCGUGGGUUCGAAUCCCGGCUCUGCCA